rnacentral:rRNA from 1 species
UAGCUUAAAGUUUAUAUUUUAGGUGAGACCUGCUCAAUGAAGAUGUUAAUUAUUUUAAAUAGCCGCAGUACUUUGACUGUGCUAAGGUAGCAUAAUAAAUUGGCUUUUAAUUGAAGUCUGGAAUGAAAGGUAAAUUUGAAAAAAAUUGUCUCUAAUUAGAUUUAUUUAACUUACUUAAUAGGUGAAAAUUCCUAUGUUAUUAUAUAAUAGACGAGAAGACCCUAAGAAUUAUUAAAAAUAAGUUUAUUAUACUUUUAUCUUUUGUUGGGGCAACAACUUUGGAAGUAAAACCAAAGGUUUAGAGAUUUUUAAGACAAAUUUUAUUUUGAAAAAAUUUAAUUACCUUAGGGAUAACAGCAUAAUUUUCUUUUUAGAUUAUGACCUCGAUGUUGGAUUAAGGAUUUCUUAGGUAAGCCACUUAAGAGAGUAGUUCUGUUCGAACUUUUUAUUCUU